AGGUAACAGCAACCUACCAGUUUGCAGAAAGGAAGAUUAAUAAAUCUGUGUAGCCUUUCUCAAGCUUUUCCAGGUGGGAGAGUAAAUGCUGAAAAAUAGAUGACAACAGGUGUAGGCAACAAAGAGGAACAACAAGUUGCCUACAAGCCUGCCCAUCCUUGGGGAGCCUCUGGUGCCUUGCAGAAUAUUCCUUCAAAAGGAAAUGAAAAACACUCCUCCAUUCUAGCUGAUUCCAGCAGAGGCAGAAGAACAUAGUGGUUCUAAGGAUUCUGGAAUUUAAUUGGAUUUAAGAAUAUACACUGUAACACGUACCUUCAUUUUUAAAUGAAUUUGUGCAGCCACUGAAAGCAGCCAAGACCCAUUUCAACCUGAGAAGUGCAAAGCCCAGAAAGCAACACACGCUGCAGCAGUUUAUCCAUACUGAAAGAUGCCAAGCACGUCAGUAACAGACACCGGUGCAGCAGGUUGCCACAUCUCACUCCCUCAGAGAAGAAUGGACACCCCAUUGUGCUAAGGACUACAACAGUGAGUUGGAAAUGGUGUACUCUGCUCUGGGAAUUAAAGCAAGCAGAAAACAGACUGAUACAGAGAAAAGAAACAAAUGAGAAAAUGUUGCUGGCAGAAGUCCCACAGUCAAAGCUUGCAGUUCAUAUUGGUUUCUGUAGCCUUCAGAUAAAGACAGAUUGCACCAGGAGCCUCAAAGACCUCAGAGUGUCUCAUUGCAGGUGAUAUUAGAGUUACCCUAACAGAAUGGAGGCAGUCACACAAGCCAGUAGCUGAAAUUUUUAGAAGAACUGAAGAAGCUAAUCAGUAGUAGCAGCUGGUCUUUCAGCAAUGCUGAAAGACACGUAAUGAUGACAAGAUAUGAGGGUAAUAAUUCUGAGGGCAAGUGUCUCUCAUCAG
rnacentral:lncRNA from 1 species